UCUCAAUGGGGCUGGGGGGUGGGGUGGGCAAAAUGAGGCAAACGCCACUCCCUGCUCAGCCUGCUUUCUCC
rnacentral:miRNA from 1 species